rnacentral:lncRNA from 13 species
GCCGGGGGUCGCCUGGCGGGGCUGUGCGGCUGCCGGCGGCGACGCGCUCGCCCUUCCUGCCCUCGGGAGAGAUCGUUUCCAGGAAUUGAGGGGCUGCGGAGGCAGGAAAUCCUGCGGGGCCCCGUGCGGGGAGCGGCCGCAACAGCAUCACCUCCGCGCGCAGGAGGGUGGGGUCCCCGGCCGCCUCCUCCCUGCUCCGUGUGAGCAUCCGCGCGAUGAAAUGUGGAAUCCGACGGUGGGAUCAAGGUGUUGAAUCUAUGAGCAGAGAUGGAGUGCCAUUGUCCUUCCAAGUGAACAUGGAAUAGAUGGGGAGAAGCUAUGUAAGUUCUAGGCUUCCAGGAAUGGAUGCCAAAACAAUUUAUUAAAUUUGCUGUUAAGAAUAAUUGUUGGCUGACAGUUGUGUAACUUUUAUGACAAUAUCUGUUGAACCCAGACAUAGGACAGACUGAUACCAGUCAUAAUGUCAGGACUGUGAUUGCUCCUUAUUCACAGAAGAUACCAAGGUGACAAAAAUGUUUAUGAUUUUAAGUCUUUUCAUAGCUGCACCGUUAUCAAGCUGCAGUUACAUUAGUCUGACUAUAGUAGCUCCAGGUGAUUCAUGGAUUUCAUUAUGUGUCUGAGUUCUUAAAGGAUAAAAGAUUUGGAUUUUUACUCUUCAGCUCUCAUUACAUGUUACAGGAGGGAGGUAGACAGUGAGCUUUCUGAAAGUCCUCUCCGCUGUUUUCAACUGGUGCCUUGAAGCAAUAGGUGUCAGCAGCAGUGAAUUGAGCAUAGACCUUUGUGCUGUGGUGGAGCAGGGAGUGUUCAUGUGCUCAGUUCUGCCAAGUGGACUGUGGUGACAUGGGAGGGCAUAUGAGACAUGGCAAUGAGCAAGUCCCAGGCCUUUCCAGACAGGCUUUGAAGCCAAUGGCUCAUUAUGCUACAAUUUAUUGAGAUGUUUUUAAUGUUUUAUCCUCUAUUGUCUUAGGGUUAUGACUGUG